rnacentral:rRNA from 1 species
CGCUCGACAUCAGAGUUUGAUCCUGGCUCAGGACGAACGCUGGCGGCGUGCCUAACACAUGCAAGUCGAACGGAGAGGCUAAGAACAAGACUUCGGUCAAGUGAUUAGUUUUCUUAGUGGCGGACGGGUGAGUAACGCGUGAGCAAUCUGCCUUUUAGAGGGGGAUAACGUUCUGAAAAGAACGCUAAUACCGCAUAAUGUAUCGGGAUGGCAUCUUCCUGAUACCAAAGGAGCAAUCCGCUGAAAGAUGAGCUCGCGUCUGAUUAGAUAGUUGGUGGGGUAACGGCCUACCAAGUCGACGAUCAGUAGCCGGACUGAGAGGUUGAACGGCCACAUUGGGACUGAGACACGGCCCAG